rnacentral:sRNA from 1 species
UAUGUAAUUCAACAAUUAAGUCUUGUGCUAGUUUGUACUCCUGAUGUGUUAUGUCUUGAGUUUAUUAGCCCUGUUAUGUCCACAGUUCUAACAUGUGGUAUGUAUGACUCCAAGUAAAUGUCAUUUGAUUACUGUAGAACUAAUUUAUGUAAAUGAGCAAAUAUUUCUCUUCAAGGCGAGAUGAUCCUUACUGGAGCGAGAAUAAAAAGUUGUCUCUAGAUACAGAUGCACGAUUUGGCCAUGGAUCCGACUACUCUCGCCAACAGAACAGAUUUAAUGACUUUGAUCACCGAGAGAGGGGCAGGUUUCCUGAGAGUUCAGCAGUACAGUCUUCAUCUUUUGAAAGGCGGGAUCGCUUUGUUGGUCAAAGUGAGGGGAAAAAAGCACGACCUACUGCACGAAGGGAAGAUCCAAGCUUCGAAAGAUAUCCCAAAAAUUUCAGUGACUCCAGAAGAAAUGAGCCUCCACCACCAAGAAAUGAACUUAGAGAAUCAGACAGGCGAGAAGUACGAGGGGAGCGAGACGAAAGGAGAACGGUGAUUAUUCAUGACAGGCCUGAUAUCACUCAUCCUAGACAUCCUCGAGAGGCAGGGCC